GGUGUGGUGGUUCAUUGGUAGAGUGCUCGCUUGCCACGCGGGCUACCCGGGUUCAAUUUCCGGCCAAUGCG
rnacentral:tRNA from 1 species